rnacentral:lncRNA from 1 species
UUUGAGAGUAAGGUCUGGGGAUGGAAGAGGGGAGAAGAUGUGGGGUUCCAGGAUAGGAAGGGAGCAGGGAGUCCUGGGUAGAGAGAAGAAUGAAGAUUCCUGGAGGGCCUGUGGAUGUGGGUCCCUGACAGGGAAGGGAGUUCUGGCGGUGGGAAUUCGGGUGUCAACACUACAGACUUUUCUACUUACAGCUUUCUCUUGGCUCCUGUACUGCUGGGCCCUGUCUGAAGUGGCCCAAACAGGCACUGGAUUAGCUGAAAAGAAAGGGUUAAUUUAUACUUUAGCCAGGCCUUUCACCCUAGAAAGGCAAUUCCUGGUCAAAGGGAAAGGGGUAAAGAUGUGCAGUAGCAAGGAGUGGGGAAGGAUAAGAGGUUGGGGCAGAGGAGCACCUU